UGGGGAAUUUUGGACAAUUGGGCGAAAGCCUGAUCCAGCAAUGCCGCGUGUGUGAAGAAGGCCUUCGGGUUGUAAAGCACUUUUGUCCGGAAAGAAAUCCUUGGCUCUAAUACAGUCGGGGGAUGACGGUACCGGAAGAAUAAGCACCGGCUAACUACGUGCCAGCAGCCGCGGUAAUACGUAGGGUGCAAGCGUUAAUCGGAAUUACUGGGCGUAAAGCGUGCGCAGGCGGUUUGCUAAGACCGAUGUGAAAUCCCCGGGCUCAACCUGGGAACUGCAUUGGUGACUGGCAGGCUAGAGUAUGGCAGAGGGGGGUAGAAUUCCACGUGUAGCAGUGAAAUGCGUAGAGAUGUGGAGGAAUACCGAUGGCGAAGGCAGCCCCCUGGGCAAGUACUGACGCUCAUGCACGAAAGCGUGGGGAGCAAACGGAUUAAUNCCCUGGUAGUCCACGCCCCUAAANGAUGUCAACUAGUUGUUGGGGAUUCAUUUUCCUUAGUAACGUAGCUAACGCGUGAAGUUGACCGCCUGGGGAGUACGGUCGCAAGAUUAAAACUCAAAUAAUUGACGGGGUC
rnacentral:rRNA from 1 species